rnacentral:rRNA from 1 species
AAUCAACGCCGGCGGCGUGCCUCAGACAUGCAAGUCGAACGAUUAAAGCCCUCUUCGGAGGGUGCAUAAAGUGGCGCACGGGUGAGUAACACGUAAGUAAUCUACCUUCGAGUGGGGAAUAACGUUCGGAAACGAACGCUAAUACCGCAUAAUGCAGCGGCAUCUAUGAUGACAGUUGUUAAAGAUUUAUCGCUUGAAGAGGAGCUUGGGGCAGAUUAGCUAGUUGGUAAGGUAACGGCUUACCAAGGCGACGAUCUGUAUCCGGUCUAAGAGAAGGGUCGGACACACUUACAGUGAAUAACGGGUCAGACUCCUACGGGAGGCAGCAAUCGGGAAUGUUGGGCAAUGGGCGAAAGCCUGACCCAGCAACGCCGCGUGAAGGAUGAAGUUUUUCGGAAUGUAAACUUCGUAAGAAAAGGAAGAAUAAAUGACGGUACUAUUUGUAAGGUCCGGCUAACUACGUGCCAGCCGCCGCCGUAA